rnacentral:rRNA from 1 species
GACGUAGGUGGCGAACGUUAUCCGGAAUUAUUGGGCGUAAAGGGUGCGUAGAUGGCUUGAUAAGUUAGCGGUGGUAAAUCGAGGCUCAACCUCGUGGAAGCUGGUAAUACUGUCAGGCUCGAGUGCAGGAGAGGUUAACGGAACUCCAUGUGGAGCGGUAAAAUGCGUAGAUAUAUGGAAGAACACCAAUAACGGCGAAGGCAGUUAACUAUUCUGCUACUGACAUUGAGGCACGAAAGCGUGGGGAGCAAAAAGG